rnacentral:SRP_RNA from 1 species
GCACUAGUCGGGGAGCUAGCGGUGCCCUGUACCUGCAAUCCGCUACAGCAGGGGUGAAUCCCCGCCCCCGGAUAGCCGAUGUGUCGUCUGACCGUAGUAAGCGGCGUUGAAGGCCCGGUCCAGCGCAACGGAGUCCCGUGAACCAUGUCAGGCGGGGAACCGAGCAGCAUUAAGCGGGUCCCUCCGUGUGCCGCGGGGGCGCCGGGCCCGAGCUGGCUGCUGUGGUAAC